GGAAAUUAAACCAAAUGGGAUAUCUUUAGUAAUUGCGAAUGAACAAGGAUAUGCUUAGCUUGACAAAUGGAGCUAUUGGCUUUGAAUUGUAUUGUGGAAAUGUAUUACCAACAGAGGUGCAGGUGCCAGCCUAUUGAAAUAAAGCGUCAAUGAGGGUGAGAAUCCUGUUUGUCAUGUGCAGCCCUUUGUGCACGGUGUAUAUUUGCUGAGUCACACUCCUUGGCAUUGGAAUGCAAAGUGGGUGGUAAGUUUCAUGUAAAGGUAAACAUGCAAUUGAGACUGAUAGCACACAAGUACCAUGAGGGAAAUAUGAAAAGGACUUUGAAAAGAGAAUUAAAUGAGUUUGUAUUUGCUGAACACAAAGUAAACAGACUUGAUUUGCUUGGUGGGAGUGUUGCACUUGCUUGACAAGAGCUUUGGGCUGUGGGUGUAAUGAUUCUUUCUUUGCAUGCCAGUUUCUAUUUGUACAUCUGAUUACCUUUGCACAUGAAUGAUAAGUCUCCUGUGGGGGGUGGAUUGCAUGUGCAUGUAAUGAUUUGUGUUUUGAUAAAUGUGUCUGGUGUAUGUGUGUGUGUUCCUGUGCUUGGGGAUGCUUCCUUCCUUGGACUUACAAGCCCUGACACACACAUGCUGGCAAAAUGCUUCUGCUUGACCCGUCUUGAAACACGGACCAAGGAGUCUAACAGAUGUGCAAAGUUUGAAGGUGGUAUACCUUUGUGUGCAAUGAAAGUGUCAGCUGGGAUAUGUGCACCAGCACCCAAUUAAUUAGCGGACAGAGGUUUGAGUUGGAGCAUAUCUAUUAGGACCCGAAAGAUGGUGAACUAUGCCUGAACAGAAUGAAHUCAGAGGAAACUCUGAUGGAGGUUCGUAUCGAUACUGACGUGCAAAUCGUUCGUCAUAUUUGGGUAUAGGGGCGAAAGAC
rnacentral:rRNA from 1 species